UGCCCAGCAACUCCUAUCCCUACCUCCGCGUGGUACCGACUGGAAACUAUGAGUAAUCUUAGGAAAGAUCGGAUAACGUGUCGGGUAAUCAACCCCGGUGGGAACUUUGGUCAUAGACUGACAGGGAAGG
rnacentral:ribozyme from 1 species